rnacentral:rRNA from 1 species
AUACGGAGGGUGCAAGCGUUAAUCGGAAUAACUGGGCGUAAAGCGCACGCAGGCGGUUGGAUAAGCGAGAUGUGAAAGCCCCGGGCUCAACCUGGGAACUGCAUUUCGAACUGUCCGACUAGAGUCUUGUAGAGGGGGGUAGAAUUCCAGGUGUAGCGGUGAAAUGCGUAGAGAUCUGGAGGAAUACCGGUGGCGAAGGCGGCUGCCUGGACCGAUAUUGACGCUGAGACGCGAAAGCGUGGGUAGC